rnacentral:rRNA from 1 species
AGCCUGAACGCUGGCGGCGUGGCUAAGACAUGCAAGUCGCACGGUGGUAGCAAUACCACAGUGGCGAACGGGUGAGUAAUGAAUCGCUAACGUACCCCGGACUCCGGGAUAGCUACCCGAAAGGGUAGGUAAUACCGGGUAACAUCACUACGAGGCAUCUCGUGGUGCUCGAAGGUCCGCCGGUCUGGGAGCGGGGCGAGUUCGUAGUCGAGCUAGUUGGUGAGGUAACGGCUCACCAAGGCGACGACGCGUAGCCGGACUGAGAGGUUGGCCGGCCACAUCGGGACUGAGACACUGCCCGGACUCCGUACGGGGGGCUGCAGUAACGAAUCUUCCGCAAUGCACGAAAGUGUGACGGAGCGACGCGCGUGUGGGACGAAGCCCGUUCGGGUGUAAACCACUGUCGAGGGGGUACCAAGUUCGUGACGGAACCCCGAAGGAACGCACGGCUAACUCUGUCGCCAGCCGAGCCCGC